UUUAAGGUGUUCUACUGUCUACUCAAGAGGAGCGUAAUGUGCGGUAAUGGUCGCGAGUUUGUUAAUUGUUUAUGCGUGAUUCACAACCCAUGUCUGAUGAGCGGUUGUUGUUUUUUUUUAUUUUGUAUUCCUGCAGCUAGUUAUCCAAUUAAUUUCUUACAUACUACAAAUAUAAGCAAAUAUACUGCAAAUAUAUGCAGUUUCGCACAGCUCAAAUAUAAACUAAAAUGAAAAAUAAUCAAUUAUGAUUUAAAACCAGACCAAAAAUUGCAGCAACAUUAAAGAUCAAUUACACUCAUUCAACAAAAUGAAAUUUAAAUUGAACACUUUUGUAUUAGUUAUGAAUGUAUCAUAUGCAUAGUUUUGCUCCUGUGGAAAUUCUAAUGUAAUUAUUGAUAAAUUAUCAAAACUCACUAGUUUUCAUAAAAUUUAUACAGAAGCAAAACUAUGCAUAUGAGAUACUUGUAAUAAAUACGUGUCAACUUCAAAUCAACAAAAUAGUAUUCACAAGCAUAAUAAAAUGGAUUUACAUGAACAAAUUUGUAUUAGUUAUGAAUACAUCAUAUGCAUGGUUUUGCUCCUGUAGAAAUUCUAAUGUAAUUUUUGCUAAAUUAUCAAAACUCAUUAGUUUUCAUAAAAUGUAUACAGGAUUUAACCAUGCAUAUGAGAUAUUUAUAAUAAAUAAGCAUCAACUUUAAGUCAACAAAAUAUUAUUCAUAAUAGUAAUUCAUUGAUACAAAAAGUUGAAAACUAUGAAUAUGUUAUAUUUGUAAUUUAUCAUUUUUUCGAGCAUAAAAUAUAAUUAGGCACAAUAAA